rnacentral:rRNA from 1 species
AUGCUCAUGCCGAACCUCGGAGUGACGACGGAGGCGGGGUUGGACUCUGAAACGAUCUCAGCGGCAACGGGUCCAGAGGCGUGCGAGCCGCCGUUCGUUUUGGGCGAGGGCGGUGACGCUUCUCGCCGGAUUCGGCCGUCGAAGCGCCUUCGCCGGACAUUCGUCUGUUGGAUCAAGUGGUGGACUUGGCUGAUGUCCAGUCGUCCAGUGCUUCCUGCAAGAGCUUCAGUGCUGGUGGCGGAGAUGUGGCAUCCGCAAACCCUGGGUGCGCGACUCAUGCCGUCGUCUCGCACACAUCCGCCGAGUCCAGCCGCCGCAGUGCCGCGUCGGAUUCCUGCACGGCAUUCAGUUCUGGGGGCGUGUACCUGCCGUCGGCGCGAGACUGCGACAAUACGCCGACCAAGAGGUCCUCGUGCGCCAGAUGAGAGAUCUGUAGUAGUUGAUCGUGUGCCGCCGCUUGAAGCUGCAAUUAGAGGAUUCGCUGAUAGGGGGACUGAGGUGGUCGUCAACCCGGUGCUUGGCACCAUUUUUGAUUCGCUGGCAGAGGCGUACCAAUUCUACAAUCUCUAUUCCUGGGUUGACAAAUACAAGCUUCACAGCAACACUUUCCUCAUACAAAUUUUCGAGGUUCGUCACAAGUGGGCGAAGCCUUAUUUUAGUGGCAAGUUAUGUGCGAAGCAAACCAGUACGCAAAGAAGCGAGAGUGCAAACCAUUUGUUGAAAGGCUACAUCCCGCCUGCAUGCCCCAUGAACCUUUUUGUGAAGCAAUAUAGCAAAUUGCAGUUCGACUGA